CUAGAUACGCCACUGUAAAUCGUAGAUUCCUAAAAAUAAGCGCAAUACACAUUAUAUGUUUGUGUUAUACCUGCAUUUGUGGUCUACGUAGGGGUUUCCGAAACUAAACAAAACCUGUGAAACCCGCAUUCAAUGUCUCAGUAUACCAGACGUCAGUUAGAAAACAUUAACAAACGAAUCGUGGCGUUUAGGUCGAAACUAUUGAAA